UGUUCCUCUGGGAUCUCUCUGCACACCUCUUGAGAGAUGACAUUCAUGUGACUAUGUGUUAUAAUACUGACUGGAACAUUCUUGCUAUUUCUCCAAGGACCAAGUGAAUGCACUGCAGCAGUUUGCUUCCUGUACCAUGGACCAAGCAUGUGGGAUCCUCACCACCUUUUUUCCUGAGUCACAGAGAGGCCACACAGAAGAGUUCUCCUAACUUCUUAAUUUCAAUCCAUGAUCUACAGCUUCAAGUUUUUAUUUCCCACGUCCUACCGUGCCCAUCUUUUGAGACUUUAAUUGAGUGACAUAAUUGAAUUUAUAUUUCAAGAAACCUCCCCUGAAGAGGAAUAUACCACCAAAAUACUAAAAUUUUUGCAAUAAGAAAAUGACUAAGACAUGGGCCAUGUGAUGGAAUAAUGAAUGGUGCUGAGAAGAGGCUGUGACAAUAGAUUCUUCAUUCUACAAACUGCCAGUGUGGGGAGCUUUACAGGAUGUAGCAGAUGGUGCCAUACUGUAGAUAUCCCAUCACUGGUAAGAUACCCUGGGUAGUUUCCAAUCACUGAUGAUUUCAGAUCUUUAAAUCUUGGAUGUCCGGGGUUGGAGAAGUCUGGUCUAUGGAUUGGC